AAUGAAGCCCGUGGUGGCCUUCCUCAGGGCACGAGGGGUCCGCAUGAUUAUCUACCUGGACGACAUACUGAUUAUGUCUUCAUCCCCCGAGCAACUUCUCAGGCACCUGAGAUGGACGGUGAGUCUCCUGGAGAAACUAGGUUUCCUCGUCAACUGGGAAAAAUCCAUUGUGACCCCGGUACAAAGGAUAGAGUUCCUGGGCUUCGAGGUCGAUUCAGUCACCCAGUGUCUGUUCCUCCCGGAGGCAAAACUCCGAUCGAUGAAAAAGGAGAUACGACGGGCGCUGCGAGCCACCUCUCUCUCCGUCCGGCAAUUGGCGAGGGUGAUCGGCCUGUUGGCCUCAUCGAUUCAGGCAAUUUUUCUGGGCCCACUGCAUUAUCAAGCACUCCAAC